rnacentral:lncRNA from 1 species
AGCUAUAAAGAUGAAAGAGAUUAUUUAAUUGGACUACUAGUAAUAGUCAAAAUAGAUUUUUUGCUACUACUAGAAAUAAUCAUUAAUUAUACCACCAUUGAUAUUAUCAUGCUAAAAUAGAUUAUAUAUAUUAAAUCCUUGAAUCUUGAAUUUAAGCAUAUAGCAAGCAAAAAUAAUCUGGUGUCGGAGUAGAGAGGUUUUGCCUCAAGAAAGCAUUGGGCUUCUAGCUGUCACUAAUUGCUCAAUCAAGCUUAAAAUAAGGAAACCCUAAUUUUAUAUAUAUAAGUUCUCCUUUUGGGACAAUUUCACCAAAUACUUAAGUCUUAAAUAACCAACAACACCCAAAAUAUGGUAGAAGUACUCUAAAACCUUGUAUAUCCUCGUGUGGAAAUUCUCCCAAACCUCAACACCUCAUAACUCUGAUUCAACCGUCCAAACAAGAUCAAAAUUUACAUGAAAUACUGAUAUGUUGUUAUUAAUUUGUACAAAAAAUUUCAACUGCAAAUUCAUCGCGGAUCUUGAGAUAUCUUCAAAAUCCUAAUAGUCGCUUCAAACCCUAAUCUUUAUAUAUCCACGCGCAAUUUUCUUCAUAUCUCACAAACCAUAAGUCCAAAUGCCAUGAAACUUGUGUAGAUAGCUUCUUAACACAAAUAUUUACAUUCUCCCAAAGUUUGAGCCAAAAUUUCGUUCGAAAACUCAAGUUAUGGCUCCUAACACUACUUUGAACAAAACCGCUCACUUACUGCCUUUGAUUUAAAUGCGCUGUCUUUAACUCCCUAUAACUCCUUCACAUAAACUCCAAAUGCAAAAUUUCCUUCGCAAAAGAUGUAUGUCUUGAAGUUGCUCUUCCAGCCGCACCUUCCGAUCUCCAAGAGUUUCCGUAAGACUCCUCUUAAACUCAUAAGAGUAACAGUAGGUCUCAAAUUAAUACCUUAACUACAAACGGCUAUAACUUAUUCACCCUAACUCCAAACCCUAUAAAAUUUGUACAAAAAUUGUAGCCAAAACCCUAAACUUUACAACCCUUGCCUCUGAUUUCCUAAUGCCCUC